AAGGAAGUGGCAGAGUGGCUGAUGUGGCUGGCUUGAAACCAGUUUAUGGGGGUUCGAUUCCUCCCUUUCUUG
rnacentral:tRNA from 1 species